rnacentral:rRNA from 1 species
UACGUAGGGUGCGAGCGUUAUUCGGAAUUAUUGGGCGUAAAGCGUGCGCAGGCGGUUCGCUAAGUCCGUUGUGAAAUCCCCGGGCUUAACCUGGGAACUGCAUUGGUGACUGGCGGGCUAGAGUAUGGCAGAGGGGGGUAGAAUUCCACGUGUAGCAGUGAAAUGCGUAGAGAUGUGGAGGAAUACCGAUGGCGAAGGCAGCCCCCUGGGCCAAUACUGACGCUCAUGCACGAAAGCGUGGGGAGCAAACAGG